UACAGAGGUCCCAAGCGUUUGUUCGGAUUUACUGGGCGUAAAGGGAGCGUAGGUGGCAUUCUAAGUCUGAUGUGAAAGCUCUGAGCUUAACUCAGAAAUGGCAUUAGAUACUAGUUUGCUUGAGGAUUGGAAGGGAGAUUGGAAUUCUUGGUGUAGCAGUGAAAUGCGUAGAUAUCAAGAGGAACACCAGUGGCGAAGGCGACUUCCUGGCCUGUUCUUGACGCUGAGGCGCGAAAAGCUAGGGGGAGCAAACGGGG
rnacentral:rRNA from 1 species